AUUGAACGCUGGCGGCAGGCCUAACACAUGCAAGUCGAACGGUAACAGGAAGACGCUUGCUUCUUUGCUGACGAGUGGCGGACGGGUGAGUAAUGUCUGGGAAACUGCCUGAUUGAGGGGGAUAACUACUGGAAACGGUAGCUAAUACCGCAUAACGUCGCAAGACCAAAAAGGGGGACCUUCGGGCCUCUUGCCAUCGGACGUGCCCAGAUGGGAUUAGCUAGUAGGUGGGGUAACGGCUCACCUAGGCGACGAUCCCUAGCUGGUCUGAGAGGAUGACCAGCCACACUGGAACUGAGACACGGUCCAGACUCCUACGGGAGGCAGCAGUGGGGAAUAUUGCACAAUGGGCGCAAGCCUGAUGCAGCCAUGCCGCGUGUAUGAAGAAGGCCUUCGGGUUGUAAAGUACUUUCAGCGGGGAGGAAGGGAGUAAAGUUAAUACCUUUGCUCAUUGACGUUACCCGCAGAAGAAGCACCGGCUAACUCCGUG
rnacentral:rRNA from 1 species